CAAGUACGACCGAGGAAGUUGCUGAGUCAUCUCUUUCCCUAAUUAUAUCCAUGGAAGAUCUUCAGAUGCUUGUGGAUUUAGAAAGAAAAGGAAGAUCACAACUUCUCUUGCCACACUCCAAAGCCACCUUCUAACCCUCUUUCCUCUAUCAUAACUGAGAAAGUGAUGAUGCUCCAGCAAGCUCAGGGUGCCCCUCCAGAGACUGACCACAGAUACUUGUGUUAGACAAGACACCUUCCAACCCUGUCUGCAUCUUUACAAAUAAAAGAUGUUGACAACACACCCAUAGAUAAUAGGAAACAUAUUUUUGGCCAGUGAGUGAGCUUUUUUGGUCAGGCUUGAGGACUGUAGCAGAUAUUUGUUGGAAGCCUUCCCAGCAGCCCACUCCCCUUUCUCCUUCUGAACAACAAAACGGUAUUUCCCAGCCUUGCAGUGAGCCUUAGGAUUGGCUUAAGCCAAUCAAAAUGUGUGCAACUCUGUGUCCACAACAAUUAUUUCAGAGUUGGGCAUGUGAUGGAAUGAGAUGUGAAGAUGUGGGAGCCUUGGAGAAAGAAGUUUCAGUCGAUGUUGCCAUUCUCUUGGGAUCACAGAGAUACUCGGUUUCAGUUGGGGUUUCUGUUAAGUAGUAUUCUCACCAACACUGAGCCAUGAAAGGAAAUGCUGGCAAUAUUUAACAGGAGACAAACUAAUCAGGAGGCCAUAAGUGAACACUUAUGAUACCAGGCGUACCAAGAUGGAAAUGCUACUCUACCAUUUUACCACUUGUGUUAUUUGAAGGAAACACAGAUGCAGUUUCUUAAUCAGGAAACUGGGGAUAACUAUAUUGAUCUCACAGCAUUGUGCAUAUAAUGCCAGACAACAUAAAUGAAAUUGCCCAGUGCCAAGCCUGUUUCCCAGACACAGAAAUCAAUAAGGACACAGAUAAAAAGAAAAAGAAAAAUUAUGUUUGCUGAGUGGCUGGCUACUAUAAAAACAAAUUGUAUAUGGAGAGUCCCCAUAAGGUACACCCAAGGAGGCAGAAGGGCAGAGCUAGGAUGAGCAGCUUGGAUCCCCAGACUUCACGUGACAGGACAUGAACGACAGCAAUCCCAGCCACUCUGAGUAAAACUUACAUACAGUAAACAGAAAAUACGUUUUAUGGCAUAGUUCUGCAAGUUGACAAGCACAUUCAGUUGUAUAACCAUCAUCACACUCAAGAUAUGGAACAGUUCUACCAUCCACCAAAAUUCCCCCAUACUGCUUUGACUCCUUUCUCCAUCCCAAUUCCUACCCCCAAAAGAUCCACGAGCCACUGAUCCAUUUUCUAUCCCUAUAGUUUAACCUUUUCUAGAAUGUCAUAUAAACAGAAUCAUCCACUUAGUGGUCUUUUGAGUCUGACUUCUUUUACAUCAUAUAAUGCAUUUGAGAAUCAUCUAGGUUGGGGUGUAAACCAGUAUUUUGUUUCCAUUGCUUGCCAUUUAACAUUUGAUUAAAGCCCAUCUUUCUUCUUAACGGUGUAAGCCACAUGGGAUGACAGAGUUGGGGGAAAGAGAGCUGAGUUCCAAUGAUCAUUUUCAAACAUAUGCACCCAAAUACAUAUAUUUGAAACUGUUGGAGGGAAAGAAGCAUGUUGGAAUGUGCUAUAGACCAAAUCGUGUCCCAGCAAAAAUCCUGUGUUGAAGCCCCAGCCCCCACUGUGACUGUAUUUGGAGACAGAAUCUUUCGGAGGUAAUUAAGGUUAAAUGAGGUCACCCGGGUGCAGUGGCUCACGCUUGUAAUCCCAGCACUUUGGGAGGCCAAGGUGGGCAGACAGCUUGAGCUCAGGGCUUGAGACCAGCCUGGGUAACAUAGUGAAACCCCGUCUCUACAAAAAAUACAAAAAUUAGCUGGGCAUGGUGGCACCAACCUGUGGUCCCAGCUACUUGGGAGGCUGAGGUGGGAGGAUGGCUUGAGCCCAGAAGAAGAAGGUUG
rnacentral:lncRNA from 1 species